rnacentral:lncRNA from 1 species
GGGGCAAGAAAGCAAGUACCUGUACAAUAAUAAUAUAAUUCCAAUACCGGUUGGACAAUGAGCAUUACUUCAAUGGAACUACUAAGGAAGUGGUUUCAGAGGAAGCAGAAGCCACAUUUGGUUGAAAAACUAAAGGAAGAUGAUGCAGGAGGUGGAAUUGGAGUUGAGCCUUAAAGGAUAAGAAAGAUUUGGAAUAUGCAAGAUGUGGGAGGGUGCUCCAAGUAGGAGGAAAAGAGUCACAGUCCAAAAUGUUUGAACGCCAUUGAUCUAUGCAGAGGAUGAGUCAGUUGGUUUCUUUGCCUUAUGCUCACCACCUUCUAAAGAACUGGUUCUCUCCCACUGAGAGGGGAAGAACAAUCUGCAUCACAAGACAUUUCGGGGGCAGAGGAAGAAGCAAGCUGGCAAAUGUGACCCUGGCUCCCAAUCAAGGGACUUUGCCCAUUUGAGGGCUCCUCCAGCAAGUUUGUCUUUUUAUUGUCUGUACGUGGUAUUUUGGGAUGUAACGCCUCUGCCCAUGAACAUGAGAAGUAUUCCAGUCUGUGCUUCUGAUUUUCUUGGCAUUUAAGGAUAUUGCUUAGUCCUGUGUGGGCCAUCGGCACAAGGCAG